rnacentral:rRNA from 1 species
UACGUAGGGUGCAAGCGUUGUCCGGAAUUAUUGGGCGUAGAGAGCUCGUAGGCGGUUUGUCGCGUCGGCUGUGAAAACCUGGGGCUCAACCCCGGGCCUGCAGCCGAUACGGGCAAACUAGAAUUCGGUAGGGGAGACUGGAAUUCCUGGUGUAGCGGUGAAAUGCGCAGAUAUCAGGAGGAACACCGGUGGCGAAGGCGGGUCUCUGGGCCGAUAUUGACGCUGAGGAGCGAAAGCGUGGGGAGCGAACAGG